rnacentral:lncRNA from 1 species
GGCCAGCACUUUAAAAUCCUCAGAUAUGUCCCAUUCUCCUGUUCUGGUUAGGAGGCAAGAAGCCAUGUCAAAAGAAAUGUCAUCAGGAAAGGUAUCAUUAUGGAUAUUUGCAGAGACCUGGAUACUUUCAUAAAAUCUCAUUUGAACAAUGCAGAAAUAUAAAAGUGAAGAUGAAGCUGGGUGAACUAAAGAUGUGUAUGCCUGUAGCCUUCAUUAAAAAGACUUUUUGCAGUGGACACCCUGGGAUGCUGCCUAGAGCACCAUUGUCAGCUCCAUGGUCACUUGACUCCCUUUCUUACCGUGCAAAGAUCUUUCAUUGUCUUUUCUUCACCCGAGGUUUUUCUGUCUUUUUUGUUUGCUCUUUGCUCUGUUGUUUCGUUGAUCCAUGCUCUAGCAGGUUCCCACACAGAGAAUUCCCACCAUUCCCACCACCACCUAUCAUCCCCAUUCCAUAAAAAGCAUCCAAGUGAUAAUAUGGUCGUUUCCCCUGUAAUUGAUACCACUUUAUUGUGCUUUCCUUAAGUAUGAACUGCUUAAGACCUGUUUAUUCUGUCUUGAGAAAUGGCCUGCAGAAUAGGAUCCCAUAUAUAUAUGAAUUUUAAAAAGGACCAAAAUAUCAUGUUACACUCAUGAGAUACUUGUUAAGGCUAAUUCUUAGCUGCAUGAUUAAUUAUGUAAGGUAAAUAACUAAUUUAUAAAUUAAACAUGCAUGCAACUUUUUAAUGUACAUAAGUAAUUAUUUAAUUUGUUCAUGUAUUCUUUUAGAAUUUCCAGUUAAACUAUUAUAAUUAAUGCUAUUUUAAGAGCAAAUGAGUGUAAAAUUGCAGAUGUCUUUGAGGGAACAGACUUCACUUAGGCAGGAGGUGGUAAUUGAAAUAAUUGAACUUCACAUUGUAGUUAAAUUUGCCUCCUGCUUCUUUCUUUAAACAGUCACAAAAGAAUAUGGAAUUAAGCCCUUUAAACUCUCAGAUGAGAUUAAUUUCAUGUCAGUGUACUUGAGACAAAGAUAAAAGAAGAGUGCUUCAAAUGGGGCUUCCAUGUUCUUCCUCACAAAACAACUCCUGCUAUAACAAAUCUUUCUGACAGGACUUUCUCUCUGGAUAUAUAAAAAGGCAAGGCUGUGUACUGUCAGAAACUGGCAGGCCUCAGGACUGGUUUUUCCAUACAUUUCAAAAUGCUGAUGUGUCUGUGAGGCCUUUUCCUUGGAACAGGAGGCACACAGUCCUGGGAGCCAGACACCCUUCCUGUGAAUGCCCCUCACAAGCUGAGGGGGCAGCCCUGGGUGCAGGGAGGCUCUGGCUAUAGCAGUCUCCAGCCACUACCCCAUCCCUGAUGUGCCUGCUCCACUCUACAGAGCAACACCCAGGCAAGCUAGAUGGGUAUUCCCAUCUGUCUCUGGCAGCAAAAACAGCUGAGGGGGCUUUGUUCUUGCCUUUUGCCGUGCUUCAAUCACAU